rnacentral:misc_RNA from 1 species
AACGCACGAGACCUGCGGACCUGCGGAAGGAUCAUUAACGAGUAACUGAACAGGUUGUAGCUGGCUUCGCAAGGAGUUAUGUGCACGCCUGGCUCAUCCACUCCUCAAUCUCUGUGCACUUGUUGUAGGUUGGCGGGAAAGGCAAGUUCUUUUUAUAGGAUUUGCUUGAAAGCCUUCCUAUGUUUUUAUUACAAACGCUUCAGUUUAAGAAUGUAUUUCUGCGUAUAACGCAUCUAUAUA